GUACUUGCUUCGGCAGUACAUAUACUAAUAUUGGAACGACACAGAGAAGAUUAGCAUGGCCUCUGCGUAAGGAUAUAUAGAUUUAAAAUCAUAUUAUUUUUAUUAUU